UACGUAGGGGGCAAGCGUUAUCCGGAUUUACUGGGUGUAAAGGGAGCGUAGACGGCGAUGUAAGUCUGGAGUGAAAGCCCGCGGCCCAACUGCGGGACUGCUCUGGAAACUGUGUUGCUAGAGUACAGGAGGGGCAGGCGGAAUUCCUGGUGUAGCGGUGAAAUGCGUAGAUAUCAGGAGGAACACCGGCGGCGAAGGCGGCCUGCUGGACUGCAACUGACGUUGAGGCUCGAAAGCGUGGGGAGCAA
rnacentral:rRNA from 1 species